AGUGAACGCUGGCGGUAGGCCUAACACAUGCAAGUCGAACGGCAGCACAGUAAGAGCUUGCUCUUACGGGUGGCGAGUGGCGGACGGGUGAGGAAUACAUCGGAAUCUACUUUUUCGUGGGGGAUAACGUAGGGAAACUUACGCUAAUACCGCAUACGACCUACGGGUGAAAGCAGGGGAUCUUCGGACCUUGCGCGAUUGAAUGAGCCGAUGUCGGAUUAGCUAGUUGGCGGGGUAAAGGCCCACCAAGGCGACGAUCCGUAGCUGGUCUGAGAGGAUGAUCGGCCACACUGGAACUGAGACACGGUCCAGACUCCUACGGGAGGCAGCAGUGGGGAAUAUUGGACAAUGGGCGCAAGCCUGAUCCAGCCAUACCGCAUGGGUGAAGAAGGCCUUCGGGUUGUAAAGCCCUUUUGUUGGGAAAGAAAAGCAGCAGGUUAAUACCCCGCUGUUCUGACGGUACCCAAAGAAUAAGCACCGGCUAACUUCGUG
rnacentral:rRNA from 1 species